rnacentral:lncRNA from 1 species
AUGCAAUUCACCUUAACUAACUAAUUCAUCAUAAUCUAGUUCUCAGGUGAAGGGACCUGGUAAUUUAGAUUUCGGCUGUGAGGUAAUUACCUCCCGACCGAACUCCAAAUUACCAGAUUAGAGGUCAUACACUUAAACAUUUGCCGCAAGAAUCUCUUCCUGUAGGUCCAGCAGGUCCACAAAAGGCAGUCCAACCGUAUUUGCUACGCCACGACAAAGGCUGAUUAGCAUCCCAUGUANNNNNNNNNNNNNNNNNNNNNNNNNNNNNNNNNNNNNNNNNNNNNNNNNNNNNNNNNNNNNNNNNNNNNNNNNNNNNNNNNNNNNNNNNNNNNNNNNNNNNNNNNNNNNNNNNNNNNNNNNNNNNNNNNNNNNNNNNNNNNNNNNNNNNNNNNNNNNNNNNNNNNNNNNNNNNNNNNNNNNNNNNNNNNNNNNNNNNNNNNNNNNNAUAUUCUGAGGAUUGUAAUUAUUGUAUGUUGCUCUAACAUUAGUUGCACUCUGAGCACUCACUAACAUUGUUCCCAUAAGGAAACAUAAUACCAACAAGCUUAACACUUUCUGUGUGCUCUCCAUUUUCUGCAGUUUGUAUUAGUUUUUUUGUGGAUUUGGAUCAUAGUAGAGGAUGGUGUACAAAUAUAUAGAGUUGGAGAAAGUUUAACGAGACACGACAAUAGUACUAUUUUCCACAUAAUUAAUCUCAAGUCUAACAAAUGCAUUUGAACCGUUACCAUGCUUGUUUUGAAUUUUCACUUUGCGUGUAUAUUGGGUUUUGUAGUGUGUUGAUUUUUCUUUGUCUAGUUUCCCUGUACGUAAUUUUAAUUCCAGAACAUUAUUUAUAUAGUCAUAGCUUGAUUUGUCUUCUUGACCACAUGCCACUCUGGCGGAUAUCAUCUCUUUUUUCUCUUUUUCCUUCUUCUGACUCUAUCUCUCUUAAUCUCACACUCUCUCUACAUUAAAAAAUCAAAAGAUAUCAAGAGAGAUUAAGAUGAAGAAAAAUUGAUAGGAAGGACCACGCAGGGCCGGAGCCGAGAUUUUGGAGGCCCAGGACAAAUAAUAAAAAUGGAUACUUGAUAAAAAUACAAUUUUUUUUUUAAAAAAAGAACAUAAUCUAUUUAGAAUUUUUUUUAUAGAGUAGAAAUUAAUCAUAUAUUUUCAAAGAAAUAAUAAAAUCUAAUUUUUUUUUAAAAAAUAAAUAAAAUAGUCGGGUUAUUUAUAAGUUUUAAAGUUGUUUUUUAUUUUUUUUAUGCAAAGAGUAUUUAAUUUAUACUUUUAUAGAAUAUAAACAAUAGUUGUGUAAAUUCAUUAUAAAAGUCUUAAAUAAAAGAAAACAAAAUAAAACUGUCCUAGGGGGAAUCAAACUCAAAAUCUCAAGGAUCUAUAAUUUAUGGACUGGAAUUCGCGACACAAAACCAAUCACAUUAUUGUUUUUAUUUGUCUCCUAAAUAAUAUAUGAAGAAUAGCUUUACGUUGGGACUCCAAANNNNNNNNNNNNNNNNNNNUUAAAGUUUGAGGCCCUAGGCCGGAGGCCUGGUUGCCCCGACCCAAAAUCGGGCUUGGGACCACGGUUCGAUCAGGGACGGAUCCCGAAAUUUUGAGCAGUCGGGUCAAAAUUAUAUACUAUAAAUUUUUAUGCUUAUAUACUAUAAAUUUUUAUACAAUCCAUACAGAGAAAAAAUUGGGCUUAUGCAAAUGGGCGGUGAGAUUGGUCCUAGGGCCGGAUACCAAUUGAGAAAUUUUAUAUACUAUAUGGGGAGAGAUCAAAUUACACCGGUGUAACAUUUGAGUAAUGUUACACCGCUCAAUAACGCUUUAACGAAUACAAAUUUUACAAAAUCCACCGUUUGAUUAAAAAUUUAUAUCGUAUAGAUCAUUUAUGUUAAAUUUUAUAAAAAUCUAAAAUCGUUUGAUAUGAUUUUGUGAUAGAUCAAGAUUAACGGUAUUCAAUAAAAACACAUAAAUCAUUAAUUAUAAUCAACUUUUAUAUAACUGUCUAAUUUUAAUCGAACAAUCACCAAUAUUUUUAAUUUAAUUAAAAUUUAUUUUUUAGUCCUCAAAAUAUAGAUAAUUCUUUCAAGGACCUUUAGAUAAUUCUUUCAGGGACCUUUUGAUAUUGGUGAUUAAUUAAAUAACUAUCUUAAAUUUAUUUUUUAGUUUAGAAUGAUAUACAUUUUAAAAUUGUCAAAUAUUUUGCUUAUAAAAAAAUAAAAAAUAAAAAAAUUGUCAAAUAUUUCAAGGACCUUUAAAUAUUAAUUAAACACAAAAUAAAAAAGUAAGUAAGGAAUUUUAAAAAUCGGCUAUAAAAGCUAAUGUAUAUGUAUUUUAAAAAUAUAAGGGAGUUUUUAUUUUAUUUUAUUUUAUAAAAAUAGAUAUUUUUGUCUUUCUAUUAAAAAAAAAAUUGUUUCGUUUUUGGUCCACAAUGACCCGUUUAUAUUCAUGUUAAUGUUAAAUUUAUGACGAUUUUAUGUUCAUGUUAUACAUAUUUAUUAGGGGCCUUCUAUGGUACAUCAGAAAGAUUAUGAUGUACUGGUACAUUAAAAUGAACCAAUACUAAUUUGACAUGCUGUAAUAGUAUUAACAGACUGGAACAAUUAAGUUUGACUUAUAUUUAUAGAUUUAAUACCACAAAACAUAUGCAUUUUUCACCGCCCAAUUUUCUUGUUGAUGAUUUUGUUCAUCAUCAAAAUCAAUUUCAAACUCUCCACAUUCAUAUAUACCCCUGAUCGUCUCUGCCUUUAUGUUCAGAAUUAAGGUUCCGAUGCGUCUCUCUCUGCCGACCAGAUCCUCUAGUAUGGUGGCGACACGAGAACCUUCAACUCUUUAAGUUUUCUGGACUUUUGAAUUCCUUUUCUUCAUUUAGAUGUGCGAUUUACUUCUAGAAUUUUGAAUUUCUUCGUAAGUUCAAAUUGAAACUCAAUUUCCAUUCAAUAAGUUUAUUUUCUCUCUUUUCUCCGGAUUCUAUAUUUUUACAAUUUCCAUUCCUUUUCGAAUUGAAACUCAACUUCUAUUUAUUCAUUUUCAAUUAAGUUGUCCAGUGAGAUAUUGUUUGGGAAAUUCAUUGAGUUCUUCAAAUUAUUAAGGUGUUGUGGUGUACUGUAUAUGACGUGUUUAUUAUUCUUGUUGUCGUUGGAGAUGUGGUGCUUUGUCUCUUUUUUGGAGAUUUUGCCCACUCUUAUGUUUGUAUUUUUUUAUGGGUCCUCUCUUGGCUCUUCUUGUGCCUUGAUUGAUGGUUUAAUAAAAUUUAUUUGCUAUUCAAAAUAAAAAUAAAAAUGUUGAUCGUGAAACCGGUUAGGUUCAGGAGGAGAUGAAUUUGUUCUUCAAUUGUGUUCUUGAGAUAUGAAUAUAAUUAGUUUUAAAUAUAACUGCCGAAGAUGAAUUGAUUCUUCAAUUGUGUUCUUGAUAGAUGAAUACAAUUUGUAUAAUUUAUGGGGUUAAAUUUAUAUACAUAAAUGUACCGAUACUACUAAUUUAGUUGACUUUUAAAAUAUAACAUAUAAAUAAUGACGUGGACAAAUGUCAAUUUUCUAUUGGUUGAAUUGGCUAUUGUACCGGUACAUUAUGUUUUAACAAACACACCAUAAAAUUUGCCUAUUUAUUAUUAUGUAAGAUAUCUGUAUGUUUAAGAAAUGUCAAGAACGUACAUGCAUGUCAAAUGAUUAAAAUGUUAAGUUUUUAUUUUUAAUGAUUAAAAUGUAAAUUCUGAUAUAUUUUUAGAGACGAAAACUUUAUUUAAUUUUUUUUAAUAAACGUAAAGAAAAAAUGAGAGUGUCCUUAAGUAAAUGUUUAUUCAUGCGAUUCUAAAUAUUUUUUAAAUGAAAAGCUCUCUAAUUUUGCAAGCAUGGCAAAUCAUUAUAAUUAUUGAAGUCUUAUAAAUGAAUUCAUGACAUGAAAUAGAUCUUUUUGUGAUUUAUUUAUUUAUUUAUUUUUGACAAGUAUUUUAUUAUUAUUUUUUUGUUAUUAAUCUUUGUGAUUUCGUUGUAUUAAUAGGUAAGGAUAUAAAUUACUUGAAAAAUCACGUGUGAGAUUAGAGACGAACACACACAAACAAAGUGCAUUGCAUAUUGGGAAAAGGUUAGUAAAAACUUCAAGCAAAUCAACUUCAGUGCAUCUUUCCUGUGUCUAGUGAUUUUCUUCCAUUGUGACUUGAUUUGUUUAUUUUCUUUUUUUUUACAAAUUCCAUUGUGAUUUGAUUUUCUUAUAUACAUUAUAUGUUUUUUAUAUAUAAAUAGUUGUUAAGAGUUUAUUCUCUUCGUCAAAAAAGAAAUUUGAUCACUUUAAUUUCUUGCAAUUUUUUUAAUACUUUCUUUUUUGCUAUCGACGUGUUGAUUAACACGUACUCAAAUGCUUUAAUUUUCCUAAUUUUCUUUCCAAUUCUUUAAUUUAUAGAAAGAGUAAUUAAUUGAAGUUGGCUAUGUUAUGCAAUAGACAACUUAAAACAUGAUAUGGUAGCUUAAAAGAAUAAAAUGGGUAGAUUAAAAGAGUAAUUGAAGUUAGCAUGAUUAACACAACAAGGCAUAAGAAUAGAAAAAAGACAACUAAAAAAAUAUGUAGAUUAAAACAAUAAAAUUGAGUAGUCUAUGUUUAAUAAAUCUUACCUUGUUAACUCGUUCAAAAAAAAAAAAAAACUUAGCUUGUUAACAUGUUGCAGAUCAAAGAGGAAAAACUUGUAAUUCAAACUCAGAAGCCGACUUCCAAAAAUGGAUCGUACAAUUUGGCAGUUUGCUCUAUUCUCUUUGUGCAUUCUUUCAGGUACGUAACAAAGAGUACUAUUUUUUCAGGAUUUGAACCAUGAACCUCUCGAUUAAUAGUUAUUUAGUGUCCCUCCACAAUUAGUAGUUAUACUUUUUGGUAUCGAACUCACAACUUAAAACUCAAUCAAUAUAUCUCUUAGCUCACCAACCGAGCUACCUAAUGAAAAAUCAAAAUGACAUCUUUGGACUUUUGUAGGAAUAUCUGCAUCAUUAGGUGGUGGACAAUGGUGUGUGGCUAACAAAGGAGCUUCAAACUCUGAUCUACAAGUAGCUCUUAAUUAUGCUUGUUGUCAAGGAGGUGCAGAUUGCUCACAAAUUCAACCUGGAGCAAUCUGUUAUGAACCAAACACUCUCCUUGAUCAUGCUUCUUAUGCCUUCAAUGACUACUAUCAAAAGCAUCCGACACCUUCCAGUUGUGUAUUUGGAGGAACCGCGACGCUUACAAGCAAUGAUCCAAGUAAGCAUUUCAUCAAACACAUAAGCUUAAUUGAAUGAAAUAAGACAGUAAAAGUUGUCAAGUCAGUGGUAAAAGUUUGACCGUAUAAUGGUUAAGAAGUCUCACAUCAGUUGUGAGACGGCCUUGACAAGUGUUUAUAAGCAAGUGACAAUCCUCACCUUACAAGUCGGUUUUGUAAGGUUGAGUUAGACCUAAUACAUAUUUCUAAGAUGGUAUCAGAGCCCCGCUAUCGGGCCACCCACCGUUUAUAUCUACGCACCAAGUCCAAUAGUACUGGUAGCCGAUUUUGUAAGGAUGAGUUAGGCCCAAUACUCAUUUCUAAGAAUAUUUUCACGAGACAAAAUUCAAAUUUGUAAAAUAUCCAUAAAUAUUACUGCCAAUAUGCAUCAUUUCAGGUCAUGGAAACUGCCAUUAUGCAUCAUCCGGUUCAAGGUAAGAAUUUAUAACAUCUAUAAGUCUGUAUUUUUUAUUGACGAAUCAAAACGACAAAGACUGAAUGAAUAUGAGUGGACGUGGCAACGAGAUCACUCUGCAACCAAUCUAUAUCUUAUUUUUCAAUAGUCUAAUUAUAUAUAUUGUCAAUGCAGCUCACCUCCAGGAUCGGACUCAGCCACAUCUGCUGUUCUUUCUUUGUCAUUGUUAUUCACAUGUGGUCUCUUGGUUUCACUUCACUUCAAGUAGCAAAUUAUAUAUAGACAAGAAAUUAACAAAUUCUGGCAAUUCUUUAAGAGCUAGAAUUCUAAUUAAAAUUACUCAUAAAAUUACUCAUAGAAUUUUUUUUACAGUAUUAGCUUAUCUUUCAUGGAGAAAUGAAUGUACCUAAUAUCAGCUACUGUGCCAUUUUUAUUUUGUGAAUAGAAAUAAAUUGCAAUUACAUAACUUCUGAAAUUUUUAACAUAUUUCUAUAUCUUAAUUGAAACUAAUAUUAUUAGUUUUAUACUUCAAAUCUUAAAUGUUCUAUUACAUGUCAAGAAUAAAAUGUUGGAAUAAUCCCAGUCUUUAAACAAUUGAUAAGGGGCUCAGUCCGUGAUUCUUGAUAUUGAUCGUACAAUUGUUGAUAUGUACCUUUUAUAUACUUAAUAUAGUUAUAGAUUUUUUUUUUGCAAACUUUUUAACCACUUGAGUCUGAUAUCUUAGUUUUAUAUUAUAAUGUUUUUAAUCAAAAUAUGCUCGUAGAACUUGGUCCCACGAUUAUAAAUUUCUGAAUCCGCCGCUCCUGCUCUUUCUAUAGAUCAUGAACUCAUUUGUGUAUAUAUAUCUCCUUAUAAAAUUAAAAGUUAUUAAUUUGUUCAUAAUUAAAUGAUAUAUAUGUCUAGGGUUAUAAAAUUAAAAGUUAUUUGUUCAUAAUUAAAAGUUAUUUGUUCAUAUCCAUUCAUUUUAUUUAAUCCAAUGGUCUAANNNNNNNNNNNNNNNNNNNNNNNNNNNNNNNNNNNNNNNNNNNNNNNNNNNNNNNNNNNNNNNNNNNNNNNNNNNNNNNNNNNNNNNNNNNNNNNNNNNNNNNNNNNUUUAUUUAAUCCAAUGGUCUAAAACAAUCACUAAAAUGUUUCACAAAAUUGAAUAUUUUGUGAUUUGUCUCACAAUCUUUCCUUAAAUAACAAAUUUUCUUUCUCUUUGUUCAUAGAGAGAAAUGUUUAUAGUCAUAAAUUCACAUCAACACUAAUUUAAUCUUUCUUUUUACUCAAACAAUAAUCUCAAUCUUGUUCACAGCAAAAUGUCGUCAAAUUUUAUCUUCUAAAUUUAUCUUCCAUGGCAACAGAAGCAUAAGAGGGCUAUGGAUGAAAUAUUAUUGCUCUUCUAUAAAGCCAUGCGAUAUUAAUUUAAAAUUAAUUAAUAUGGAACUUCAAAUAUUGGAUUUCAAACCAUUUUUCAUAGUUCUUGUUGAUAUUGAUACUUUUAUGGUUUUAAACGAAUGGAUGAGAUUUGGUGUCAAAUUAAAGUUUGACACCUUGGUGUUAAUUGUUCCUAACCCAUAUGUCAAAUUAACUUUGAAUUACCUUAACUUCUUUCCAAGAUCACCUUAUUAUGUGUGUGUGAAACAGGACAAAAAUGAAAUCCAAAUCCAAAUGUUACCAAAUAGCAAGCUAUGUAUAGUAAAUGAUAAAUAAGAACAAGUUUAUUUAGAUUCAUCCAAAUUAAAGGUAGUAUACAAGUAGCACCGCUUGUUUUAUUUAUGGUAUUAUUAGGCGGUACUUAGUACAUCUUUUGAUCACAAACAGUGAUUCAUUCAUUCACAUUAAUUAACAAUUAACAAAGUUAUAGUUAACUGUAAGAUGGCCAUUCUGGUAACCUUGUCCAUUUGUAUCAAUUUUAUUGAAGACAUUCACAUCCAAAUCCAGACCACCAUUGGCACAUUUAUCCACUAUUCUCACUGUUGCCUGAGCUCCAGUUGCAGUAUUUGUCACCUGCAUCAUCACAACAAUAUUAAUUCAACUAUCCAAAACUGAGAUGGUUGCUCUUCCACUCUUUGAAUUGCUCAGACUAGAAAACUACCGGAAGAUAUCUCCCGAUAAGAUCAGGGCCGGCCUUGAGGGAGUGCAAGGUGUCCUAUGGCACUGGUCCUCCAUUUUUUAGGGGGCUCAAAAAUAAUUUAUAUGGUAGUAGGUUUUGUAAAAAAAAAAUUGAUUAAAAAAUUAACUAAAAUGUUCUAGUAUUUUUUUUAAUCUAAUUGUGUUGGUCAAAUCAAAAGUGGCUAGGUUCAAAUUUCAGAAAAAUAAAAUGAAUAUUUUUUUUUUCUUGUUUCAAAUACAAACAGAAACUCGUGUAGCUUCUCUUUCUUCAUUAUCGAUAGGAGAGAGACUUUUUUCUUUUUUAAGUAGUUAGAAGAAAUUUUUGUUGGUAUUGAUUAUACAGCGAUGCUAUUCAUCACGACGCUUAAUUUGGCGAAUUCCACGAACAGUGCAAAACCUUCACAAUUUGUUUGUUUUUUAAAUUUAAAUAAAAAAGUAUAUAAUUUGGUGUUUUACAGAAAACAGGGGUGGUUGUGUGUUAUUCUUGGUUUUCGUGAAUUGCAAUUUCGUGAUAACAAGCAUAAUUCUUGAUUAUAAUAUGACUAUUUUUUAUGUUAUUUAAUUAUAUCAUUUACAAUUGAAAAGAAUAUUAUUCUUUUUGAAUUUUUUACUUUUUUCAUUAAGGGGCCCAUCUUUAAUAUGCAAGGUCGGAUCUCAAAAUUGUCGAGACCUGCCCUGAGUAAGAUUUGCACUACCAGAAAUUAUCUUCUAGCAUAUGGAGGGAUAUGGGGAGAUUCUGAUCAAUUUAAGAGACAAAGAGCGUCCAUCGAAGAUAAAUACGGUACAAAUAUUCAUCUUAGUUAAGCAGAGUGUGGACUUACACUUAAACAUUUGCCGCAAGAAUCUCUUCCCGUAGGUCCAGCGGGUCCACAAAAAGCAGUCCAACCAUAUUUUUGACGCCAUGACAAAGGCUGAUUAGCAUCCCAUGUAGCACAAUAUACACUGGCAGUGUUGUAAUCCCAAUUAAUAUUCUGAGGAUUGUAAUUAUGGUAUGUUGCCCUUACGUUAGUUGCACUCUGAGCACUCACUAACAUUGUUCCCAUAAGGAAACAUAACACCAACAAGCUUAAACUUCUCUGUGUGAUGAUCUCCAUUAUUAUAAUUUUCUCUUGUUUUGUAUUAGUUAUUAUGUGUUUCAUAGUAGAGGCUUGAGUACAAAUAUAUAGAGUUGGAGAAAGUUUAAUGAGACACGACAAUAGUGGUGUUCUACAGAAUUAAUGAUCUUAGUCCAACAAUGUGUUUGAACCGUUACCAUGCUAAUUCCUUUGAUUUUUAUCCAGCGUGAUGUAUUUGAUUUUGUUGUAUUUUGAUUUUUCUUUGUCUAGUUUGUAGUUUCCCCGUAAUAUAUGGUAGUUUGAUUUGUCUUAUAUUGAGCACCCUCCAUCACGACAUGUCUAGAUAAGUUUGGAGGUUUUCCAAUUGAGACUUGCUAUAUACAUGCAUAUGCAAUUAAUCAAAAUACUACCGAAUCCCAUAAAUCCUAUCUCAACUAGUAUAAAAUGUCGAAAUUGUUUGGCCGGACGUCGUGAGUCGUGAUCCGGAUUCGAACCCAGGAUCUCACAAUUAUGUGGUUUGCUUCUCAUAUUUUGUUUUUUAAAAGUCAAAUGACCUAACUGAUGUCCAACGAUCAUUGACUUCAUAAGUCAAGUUUGUGUUUAUUUUGUUUUGAUAUUUAUUAGCGUGUCUUUGAUUUUCCAUAUUAUUCCAGAACAUAAAGUUUGGAUUUUGUCCUCCCCAAAUAUAAACCCAUAAAGUUUGGAUUUCCCCAAAUUCAUUCCAAUUUCGAGCAGAGAUAAAAAGUAUAACCUCAAACCCACACUCAACGGAAAUUGGGUAUUCCUAACGGGAUUCGGGUAUCCCCGUUACGCCUCUUUUCACAUGAAUUUGGAUAGUAUUAUAGUAUUUUUUUUUUAUUCAAAAAAGAAGUUAAAUGUAAAAAAUUAUUUUGUUUUAACAAUAUUUUUUAAAUAAAGAAAAGAAAUAGAGAAAAUGGUUUGUUUAAUAAAAAAAUAGAGAUAAAAAUAGAGAAAAUGGUUUUUUUAAAUUAAGAAUAAAAAAUAAACAUAUGAAUGUAAUUUAAGAGAUUGUUUAAGAGUUUCUAAUUUAAUAGAGAUAAAAUCUAAUUUUAGUAUAAGCGGCGCGGGUUCGGGGUGAGUAUCAAUGUCUCAAUUACCCGCCCCAACCCUAUCUUUUAAAAUUGGAGAAAACCUAAAUCCGAAUUCAAACUCAAUCAACUCGAAUUUUUCCCGUCAAAGUUUGAUUUGUCUUCUUGAUGACCCCAUUUCCACAUGUCUUGUUAAAUACUAUAAUAUUUAAUUUAAAGGAUCCAUAUCCACACACACAUAUAUAAAGAUGUAUUUCGUACUGAAUUGACAUUAAUAAUGUUAUAUUUUAGCCGUAAAAAUGAGAAGAGUCGUGAUUUUUUUAAUUUUAAAAUAUAUUAUCGACAGUUUUUAGAAUUUCUAAUAAUUUUAAGCAUUGAUCCACAGUGGACCAUUUGUGAAACUGGUCCACCGCAGCAUUAACCUAUUUUAUUGGACCAAUCUAGAGUACCCUAUGUGAUUCUAAUUUUAGUUUUGGCCAUACCCAACUCAAUUCGGCCCAAAUACGUACACACCAACCUUUUUACAUUUAAAUUCCUUCUUUAAAAAUUACUAAUAUUCAUACAUAAAGAAAGAUAAAAAAUAUAUAUAUCUUGCACCCGCGGAAAAGAAUGGUCUCCCAUGUGAUUUUGAUUAGAGCGAGUUCAGUGUGUCUCUCCACCCAUUUUUUACUAAUUGGAACUGCAUGUGGCAAAUAAAAAGGAAUGUAUAAGAUUUCAACAGUCUGUUAAGGGAAGGAGAAAUUAUGGAUUUUCUACACGAAUUCGAUAGUAAUGCCACCCUCCCAAAGACGAUAAAAACAUUUUUUUGACUCUCAUACCAAAUAAGAAUCAUCCUCAAGCACUGUCACAUUAUAGGCCUAUAUAUAUGUUUAGUAGGAUGUUUGAACAAAAUUAUCUCAAAAGUUUUGGCCAGCAGGAUUUGGAAAAUAUGAUUUUGGAGAGUCAGCUUUCCUACCGAAGAAGCAGAUUCUGGAUGGAGUGUUUGGUUGUGAAUAAAUUGAUCGACCUUGCCAGAAAGAAGGAUAAAUGUUUGUUGUUUAAAUGCAUUUUUUAAGGGCUCGGGCUAAGGUGAGAGGACAUCUCAUAUCUCUNNNNNNNNNNNNNNNNNNNNNNNNUUAGAUUAUGAGAGUCUAUAGAUCUUAUUGUGGUUUAUCUGUAUGAUAUUUGUGUCUUUUUGUUUGACCUUGACUUUUUUCUUUUUUUGAUUCACUUUUUGAAAUUUAAAAUUACUAUUAUUGUUUACAAUUAAAAAAUGCAAAUUAAGUUUCCAUUAAAAAAAAAACCAAAAAAAAAAACUCACCAAUUAUAUUUAAUUGAUAAAUAUCAAAUUUAUAUCCAACACUAAUCAUCAAUCUUCAAAACAUAAAUUUGAAGCUCCUGAAUUGGUCCACAAUGUAGAUCCUCUUGUUGACAAUGUGGAUGGGGAUCCUCCUGUUGACAAUGUGGACUUGGAUGAUGCUGAUAUUGUCGGGGAUAUUCUGGUACAAGGGGUUGACUGUCGAGUUAGACGUGCUGAGAAGCGCUUUUUAUAUUGAAAAAAGCAGUUUUAUUCAAACAUACGUGUUGAUGAUGAAGAAUUCAAAUUUAUGGCAUCAAUGGAUGAAGAAUUUGUAAUAGUGUAGGUUUAUGAUCUUUUUUUUUUUGGAGAUAAAUUAAACGAGUCAGUAAUUUUUUCUUGUAACAAAUGCAAAAGGAGUGAAUCCUGCAGCAUGUAAAUUGGUUUGUGUNNNGUUUCUUGCUUUAUAUAUACGAAAACUCUUUGAGAUCAGGAUAGUGAAUCCACUCUAGCAAAAAAAAAAAAAAAAUUCAUGAUCCCAAAUGUUUCUUCUUUGGCAGGAACAAAAUUACCCAAAUAAUCUCAAAUUAAUUUCUUACUUCAAAUCUAUUUAUUUUUUCGAGCAAAAGAAAAAUUUAUUUGGGUUUAAAUAUUUGAGUUUGCGUUUGGAAAAUGUUUCAAUGAGAAUUCUCGAUAUAUUUUGUGAAAUUUCAUAGUUUGGGUGACUUACUAUACCUUCAUGUUAGUGUAUUCUCUUGAAAAUGAAGAUUAUGAAGAACAUUUUUUUUUCUAAUAUAAGUUUUGUAAUUUUAAAUAAUGGUAAAUAUUAUUUUAGUAUAUUAGAAUGAAUAAAUUUAUUGGGGUUAUUGUAGAAAGGAAAGAAGAGAAGUAAAGAAGAGAAUACUUCUCUUCGUGAUGUGAUUAUUGAAGAAAGUAAAGAAGGAAACAUUUCUCUUCAUGAGAUUGUUGAAGAAGACAUAAUAGAUGAAUGUAUAUCAAUAAUUCAAAUGUGAGAACAAUUUUUCUAAAAAAAAUGAGAAGAUUUUUUUUUACAUUUGUAACUCAAAAUUAGAGGUUUUUGUUUUUAUUUUUAAAAAUUCCAUAUAAAAAAGAUGUACUGUACAUGAAUACUUUAACAAUAAAAUAUCAAUUUCAUUUUUAUUGAAAUUACAUGAGCAUUAUUAGUUUCCAAGUUAUACAUGAUGAACUUAAUUACAUAAGCAUUAUUUUAUUGGAAUUAAAAACAUUGAUAACUACUCCUCCAUCUGAUCUUAAUUGUAAGCAAAUCUUAACUUUUUUAAUUCAAUGAAAAAUUAAUGUAUUUAGUCUAUAAUUAAGGUCGAAUACAUUAGUUAUUCAAUGAAUUUAAAAAGUAAAAAUUUACUUAUAAUUAAAGUAAGAGGACAUCUAUAUAAAAUAAAUGAGCAAGAAACUCUUAUUCCACACGUUUUUCAUAGUCUUAUUUAUUCUUAAUAUGGCUACUAUCUAUAUAUAUAUAGCCAAACUAUUAUAGAACAUACUGAAUCAUACAUUUAACUAAUAUGGGCUUUCGCCUUCAAAGUUACCAGGUGGAUCAUAGUUGCAAGUAAUGAAUGUUCCACCAUUAUCACAUCUCACUUUGGCACAUCCAACACGUACUGUAUCUUUCCAAACCACCUGAGUAUAAUGGAGACAUUCACCACCAACACAUGAGUUACUAUCAUGAUCAUAGUUGCCUAUCUCAUCCACCCACAUCUCCACCGCACCCGUGCCACUAAAGUCGCCAAAGCUCAUAGCAAUAUUCUCUCCGUAACCGCCAUGAUCACCACUGGAGUGGAUCAGUUGACAAUCCGUACGUUGAUUAGCAUAGUUCUGUGCAAAAGCAGCUACGGUGUCGUCCCAAACUAUAUUUGGGACGCCAACCUCGGAUCUUGCUAUGUUGUGGGCGUUCACAAAGUCUGUUGGUGAGUCUUGUGCAAGUGCAACAUGACCAAUAAUUAGAAAUAAGCCCAAGACACAAAAUAGAGAAAAUGAAGUCAUUUGUUUUUACUAUUGAUAAAAGUGUAAAUGGAAUGUUUGGUGUUUGAUGAAAAAUGUUAGGGCUCCUGUGGUGUAUUUAUAGGGAAUUUUUUGUACAAGAAAUUGAAAUUUGGCAAUUAACUUAUAAGAAAAAACAAGUGUCAAGUCUUAUUAAGAAAAAAAAAGGACAAGUGCCAAAAGGUAAUUGAAUUUUUCAAAUGAAAUUUCUUCCACAUAACCAAACAAAUUUGGUUCUCCACUUGUAACGUAAUAUUUUUUUUAUUGUCUGUGAGGAUGCCUCUUGCUCUAAAAGAAAACAGGCUAUCAGCGGUUAAAUUGUUAUUAUUUUUGAUUUUCAAAACCCAAUUUUUAAAAUAUUACAAGUUUUUUUAUAUUUGUUUUUUUAAAUUGAAACACUAGUUUUGACAUCAUAUAACAUAAACACACAUUAUUGAAGAUCAAAAUAUAGUCAAAAUCAAAAAAUUUUCAAAAAGUUAUAUUUCAAAAAUGACUUUUAUGAAAAUCUAUUUGAAAUAGCUUCAAAAUUAAGUAAUUUUUUUUUUGAAAUUUUGAUAUCUGAUUUUUUUCUCAAUAAAAUAGUAAAAUACCUAAAAUCACAUUUUAAGAAUAACUAUUCAAACCAAUUUUUUAUUUAAAGCUUUCAUAAAAAGUUUCUUUAUAAAAAAUUUUUACAUAAAAUUACGUAACAUUAAGAGAAUCUAUUUUAAAAAAAUCUAUAACAAACAAGCUGAUAUAAAGUGUUGUUAAAUAGAAAUUAUUGUGGUGGUAUAGCUUGGUAGUAUAGAGCAUUUGUUGCAGAUUAAUUUUUUUCAAUAUUACACACAUAAUGAAACACAAAAAGUAGCUUAUAGCAUAUGUUGAAUAGCUUAAAGCUAGCGUAUAAACCUCCAUAAAUGUUUGGUACCAUUUAUUUUCUCACAAGCUUAUAACAACUUUUUUUACUAAUAACAUUUUAUUUGGUGCUGAACUGUAAAAAAAAACAUUUUAUUUGAUGCUAUUUCAAGUAAUAUUUGAAUUUAUAAUUACAGCAUAUUGUUUUUUCUAUCACUAUCUUAAUUAAAAAAAUUAAUAUUAGUUAAAAAGAUGUUUUAUAUCAUUAUAUAUUUAUUAUUUCAACCAUUAAUUUUACCGAAUACUUUAAAAUAAAACACCUAACUUAACUAUUAUAAGAAAACUUUUUCUAUACCCACAUGAGUUGAUCGUGAAACCUAAGAUCUUAAAGUGUGGUUCUCAUUGCCACUUUUUAUGUUGAAUGAGUUCAUACAAAUUGAAAAACUAGACGAUAGAAUUGGUGGCUUCAAAUUAGUCGAUUUUUAAAUCAGAUAUCGAAUCGAAAAUAGAAGAAGAUAAAUUUUAUAUUCCCUAUCUUGUGUAUAUUUACUUAUCUAACAGAAUUUAUGUUACGUAUAAAGCCUUGAUCAGCAGCCUUUGGCCAUGUCUUACUAUUAGCCGCCUAGUUAAAUUAGUUAAAUGCCCAAUAGCUACACGUAUGUUCUCUCUUGCAAUCUAAUACUAUAAUAACAAUAGCUAUAGUUAAUUAGUUUUAUCAAGUGGAUCACAUACAUUUCUAAGGAAGAGAUGUCCAAUAAGACCAUAUUAUAGUAUUUCCUUCAUCCCAAAAUAGAAGCAAAAGUUGGUCAACAAAAGUUGAUGUAUUUGGUCCAAAUUUUUAAUCAAAUACAUUAAGUUUUUUAAAAUCAUNNNNNNNNNNNNNNNNNNNNNNNNNNNNNNNNNNNNNNNNNNNNNNNNNNNNNNNNNNNNNNNNNNNNNNNNNNNNNNNNNNNNNNNNNNNNNNNNNNNNNNNNNNNNNNNNNNNNNNNNNNNNNNNNNNNNNNNNNNNNNNNNNNNNNNNNNNNNNNNNNNNNNNNNNNNNNNNNNNNNNNNNNNNNNNNNNNNNNNNNNNNNNNNNNNNNNNNNNNNNNNNNNNNNNNNNNNNNNNNNNNNNNNNNNNNNNNNNNNNNNNNNNNNNNNNNNNNNNNNNNNNNNNNNNNNNNNNNNNNNNNNNNNNNNNNNNNNNNNNNNNNNNNNNNNNNUCAACAAAAGUUGAUGUAUUAAUUUGGUCCAAAUUUUUAAUCAAAUACAUUAAGUUUUUUUGAAUUAUUUUUACUUAUAUUUUAGGACGAAUGAAGUAUUUUCUAUUUAGCAAUUACUAAGCCGUCUGUUAGGAUUAAGGAGGCUAUAGGCAGAGUGCUGAAUAGGUACAUAAUCCUGAUGACCAAGGUUAUAAUACGUUUGAUAAUUUCAAAAUUCAAACAAUGUGCAUCGAUCUAUCAUGAUGUGCAACCCACUCUCUCAAGAAAACUAUAGUAAUUUAAAUUUAAUUAUCUACUUGAUUUGCAACCCAUCAGUUUUCUUGGAUAUUCUGCCAUAGAUAAUAAGCGUGUCUGCUUUAAUUAUGAGUUUCCUCAUUUACUUUUUCAUAAAAUAUAAUAGCAAUAUGUUAAGGAAAAUACUAAACAGUGCCCCGGGGCACUAGUUAAGGAUGCAAAAAUAGUAAUUUGGUAUUGAAAUUUGUGCAGUCAACUUCUCGAAAGUUUAAAAAGUGUUAUUUUCUUUUCAAAACUUUCUAAUCUUGGCUUCCUUAACCAGUGCCCCGGGGGCACCGGUUAGCAUGACCCAUAUGUUAAAUAGAACAAAUAAUAAUACUAGAGUAAGGUUGGUAUAAGAAUGUGUAUAAUGUAUGAUUAAGGAAGAUUUGUUCUUGCUAAAAUGGAUCAGGAUUGCAGAAGUCAUAAGGUUCCUGCAAUUGUGCAAUUAGACGUUAUGAUUAUCCGAUCUUUAAGUACAAUAUUUUUAGAUAUUUCUAAAAAUAAAUUACUAACACUUUUUAUAUGCAUUUUUUAGACCGUUCGAUUUUGAUUGAACGACCAAAAUAACUUGACUACAGUGAAUGUAUGGAUCUAAUCUAUUUCCUUGCUAUAAUAGAGUAUAUCUCUUCAAUUAUUUAUGUUUAUUCUUAAAUAAUAGUGUUAGGGCUACUUUCAAGUUGGAUGAUCCUUUGUUUCAUGGGAGGAUGGGAUCUGCUUAUGGAAAUGCACAAUUCAAGACUAUUUGGUCCAACAAGGUCUUAAUUGUGCUUUUGAAAAAGAAAAACCAAGUGAGAUGUAAGAUUUAGAGUGCAUCGAGAAAAAUGUAGUGAGCACAAUUCGUUUGACACUUGCCCCACAGAUUAAAAUGAUUGUAUUGAAAGAAACUUGUCCAAAGAAAUUGUGGGAUUUGUUGGAAUAUAAGUUUGCAUCAACUACAUUAACUAACUGAUUGAUGAUGAAAAUAAAUUUGUAUCCACUGAAAAUAGAAGAUGAAGGCAAUGUGAUCAUAUUAAUAAGUUUUAUGAGUUGGUAUCUAGACUUAUGAAUGCAGACGACAAUAUCAAAGAUGAAGAACAAAUGUUCCGUUUGUUGGCUUUGCUACCCAAAUCUUAUAAACAACUUGUGCAGUAAAUGUCAGGGCCGACCCAAGGGCAACCCAAGCAAGGGCUUUAGGCCCCCGAUUAAUAAAAAAAAUUACUAAGGAAUAAAAGUCAUUCAUUCGGCUACUCAAACCGAUUCAUUCAAAGUCCGGCCCACUAUAUUGGCACACAGGUCUACUAUUCUCAUCUUAAUGAUAUUUUCUCUCCCGACCCCUCGUGUUUCUUUUAUACCCCUAAAUUUCCAAUUUUGCCCUUAAAAAAACUUCGGUUUGUAGAAACGGAAGUUUUUUUUUGUCUUGAAAACAAAUUUAUUCUGAAUUUGCACUAAAAAAAAAUUCGGUUUAUACGAACCGAAUUUUUUUGCAAGGGUAAAAUUGAAACAUUGGGGAUAUAAAAAAAUCACGAAAGUCGGGAGAGAAAACAUUCAUCUUAAUUAGCCCGAGCUAGCACCGGUUGCUUGCAUUUAGGGGUGAAAAUAGUAUGAAAUUAACAUUAUAGUCUAGUGUGUUAGAAUGCACUCUAUAACAUAACAUACUCCCUCCGUCCCAAAAAGAAUGACCCAUUUUGAAUAUAUGCACUAUUCAUAUAUAUUGUUUUGACCAUAUUUUUCUACUAAUAAAUAAAAAUAAAUAUUNNNNNNNNNNNNNNNNNNNNNNNNNNNNNNNNNNNNNNNNNNNNNNNNNNNUAUAAUUUUUACUAUUAUACAAUUAAAGAUAUUAGUCGCCAAAGUUAUGCAUUGGCAUGCGUGUUUCGGUCAACUGGGUCAUUCUUUUUGGGACGGAGGGAGUAACCAACUAGUAACUAAUUAUAAGCUAGUAGCUACGUUAAUCAAUGCACAACUAAUUCUAACAAAUCUUCAAUUAUAUCUAAAAUGAAGGGUAUUUCAAUUAUAUCUAUCUCAACUUAUCAAAAAAAAAAUUAUAUCUAUCUCAGUUAGAAUUUGAACAUUAAUUCAUUAUGAUGUGGGAGUUUAAUCCCUCCUGCUUAGAUUUUUUUAGAAGUUUAUUUAUUAUUUUUUUGGUGUCAAGGCUCUUAUUUCUAUGAAAAAACCCUAGUAAUUUGAAGUUUAGUGCAAGGUAAGUAAAGUCUGAACAAGAUAAUAGAGGAUAAGACAAAACAAUAUCGAUGAGAGAUAUAAUUAAGAUAAUAUUUUUUAUAUUAAUUCGAAAAUAAAAUGGAUAAUUUUGUACUUAUUAUAGUUGUACUAUGGACAAAAGUUGUCUUGUUGUUUGGUAAGGGACAAUGUUUUUCUUUUUAGGAAAAGAGACAAUGUUUUUUGUCCUAUUUCUUACUACCUAUUUUGUCCAAUCUCAUAACCAGUUUUUGAAAUCAAAUAGGUACAAUAAAAGUUGUCUAGUUCAAGUAAUAAGUUCAAUUUUUACAUAACAUGACGAGGCACGAUUGCGCUUCUGUUUUUUAGCACAUCAAACACAUCCUAUAAUAAACCUAUAAUAAACGAUAAAUAAGAACAAGUAUAGAUUCAUCCAAAGCAGUGUAUAUAUAAGUAGCACCGCAUGUUUUAUUUAUGGUAUUAUUAGGAAGUACCUAGCUAGUACAUCUUUUGAUCACAAAGAGUGAUUAAUUAACAACUAACAAAGUUAUAGUUGACUGUAAGAUGGCCAUUCUGGUAACCCUGUCCAUUUGUAUCAAUUUUAUUGAAGACAUUCACAUCCAAAUCCAGACCACCAUUGGCACAUUGAUCCACUAUUCUCACUGUUGCCUGAGCUCCAGUUGCAGUAUUUGUCACCUGCAUCAUCACAACAAUAGAUUAUUAAUUCAUCUUUAACAAGGAAUUGAAUCAAAAUGCUUUCAUACACAUGGUUCCUUCACCGAAUCAAUAGGAGCUCUUGUUAAUUCAAAUAUCAAAUUUAGUUUAGUGAUGAGAGAUUUGGAUAGUAUGCUAAAGAUUUUGGAUUCGAUCCGCAACUCAAUUGUAAAUAAAUAAAAAAUUAAUAUGAUUGGUGGUAACCAUAUACAAUAAACUGAGAUGUAUGGUUAAGAUCGCACAUAACCUUUCUACCACUGAAGUGGAUUUAGACCUGCUAUAAAAUUUCUUCCAUCCAUAUUUAAUUUUUAUAUAAUAAAAUUAAAAAUUGAACUAAUUUUUUUUUUUUAAUGACAAAUUAUUAGCAUGUUAUGUUAGUUUUUUACACCUUAUCGGAACGUGAAACUGGACCUCCAACCCUCCUAAACUUAAUUAGUUCAAUUAAUUGAACUACUUAUCCCACCCCAAUUAAAUUAAACGGAUUAUAAGGUGUAUCCCCCAAUCCGAAGAAGAAGAAGAAAGGGCAUAGCAAGAAAAAAAAACAAGCUUAAUACAAGAUAUUAUAUCAUACCUUCCUUCUCCAGUAAUAAAGCAACGAGAAGGCCAUGGAUUAUGCAAGGCCAAUAAGAUAUGGGCUUAGGCCCCCAAAAUGUAUUAUCAUUAAAUUAUUAUGAUUAAAUAAUUAAUCCAAAAAAUCUGAAAGUGAUUUGCUCAUAUAUAAGAAAAAAUAUGUUUUUUAAUUCAUUAUAAAGUUAAUGUAUCUAAACAACAUUGCAGUUUAGAUAGAUCAACUUUACAAUGAAUUUUUUGUAAAUGGUGUAAGUGGUAAUACCGUCAAGCAUUUGCCACAAGAAUCUCUGCCGCGAGGACCAACAGGUCCACAAAAGGCAGUCCAAGCAUAUUUUUUACGCCAUGACAAAGGCUGGUUAGCAUCCCAUGUAGCACAGUAUACACUGGCUUUGUUGUAAUCCCAAUUAAUAUUCUGAGGGUUGUAAUUAUGGUAUGUUGCCCUUACGUUGGUAGCACUCUGACC